GUCCCAAGGGCAGCAGGAAAGGUUUUUCUGGGGCUUCCCAUGGCCUGAUUAGCCUAAGGGUGACUGACUCUGCUUUGUGUUCUAAAUGCCAUUCCCAUGAGGCACAGGGAAGAGGCUCUGUAAUUACCAAGUCUGUAGCAAUACUGGAUUCUCCCGGUAACUUGGAACCUUUAUAAAGGGCAAAGCCCAGCCUCCUCUCCAGUGUCAGCUGCUGUAAAGCUCCCCAGACGCCAGCAUGAGGCUCCAUUACCUCCUCGCGACCCUCUUCGUGCUCCUCCUGUUGCCUGUGUCGGGUUUUACUCAAUUAACAAGAAGUCGUCACAGCUGCCAUUGGAAUGGAGGUGUCUGUACACUGUUCCAGUGCCCUCCAAAUAUGAGACAGGUCAGCACCUGUUUCUGGCACUGGGUAAAAUGCUGCAAGAGGAGAUAAUAAGAAGGCGAAGAAACGGCUGUGACAGAAGUGGUCAGAAACUGCGCCCUUCAAAAAAUCAUAUAAAAUUUAAACCAGAUUCAACUUCUAUGUUCAAAGGCAAAGACUCUAGGCCUCUGGCCAGUGCGGUUGUUGUGUGGUGUGUGAUUACAGGCGACCACCGAAACCCUUGAGGGCGCUCUCCUAAGCUCCCCGUACUAACCAUCUGGGACACCACAGUGGCAUGCUCCUGUUCCUUGGGGCCACCUGACCUUCCCCAGCCCCCCUUUGUGCUGUCCAAUGAUGUGUGCUUUGUCCUUCCUGCUUCCCGCCCCAGGGUGCCCCUACCUAACCCACAUCACCCCUCAAGCACACACCCCGUUGGUCCAGUCCCACCAGAUCACCACCUCCCUCGGGAAACCACAACCGACCUGCCCAGGGGGAAACCCCUCUCUCCUCUGUUUUCCCCAAGUCCCCACUGCCUUUUGGUUUACGCUUCUUACUUAUAUGCCUUGUGCACAUGUGGAUAAACUUCUAAUUCUCUCCUGGGCUAUGAGAUCUCUACGGGCGUGGACUUUGUCCUGUGCACGUAUGUGCUGGUCACUGAGGGGAGACAUUGCUUCAUAAACUAUUAUCAAUUGAAUGACAAAGCUGACUUGGACAAAGCAUGUCUCUCCAUGUGGACAUGAUGCAAUGCAAGUAAAUGCUGUGGAAAAACAAGUCCUUACGGAAAGCACAAUUCAAUGAAGGCAAUAUACCGCGGAACACAGGAAGAAGGGACUGAACACCAAAAGAAAGAGACCGUAGACAGCAAGGGGAAGGAUGAGGAUGCUGACCUCACCCUGCUCUCAAUUCCUCCGGAGGGUUUGGUGGUUAAAUCAAGAACCCUGCUGAUUUAUCCUGCAUGUGUGAGCAGCUCUCUGGCUCUUUACACUAACUUUUCACUCAAUGCAAGUUGAGGUCACCAAUGUGAUGGUGUUAGGAGAUGGUGCCUUUGGGAGGUCAUUAGGUCAUGAGGGUGGAGCCCUCAUGGGUGGUAUGAGUAUCCUUAUGAAAAAGACUCCAGAGAGAUCUCUUGCCCCUUCUGCCAUGCGAGGACACAGGGAGAAGGCAGCCGUCCACCAGACACCUGCUCUGUCUUGAUCAUGGACUUCUCAGCCUCCCAAACUGUGAGAAGUAAAUGUCUGUUGUUUAUAAGCCACCCAGCCUGUGGUGUUUUUGUUUUAGUAGCCCAAAUGGACAGACACAUGACAAAUGAGAAUUAAAGUUACAGAUGGAAUUAAGGUACCUAAUCAGUUGGCCUUAAAAUAGGGAGAUUAUGUUGGAUUACCUGGAUGUGCUCAUUGUCAUUUCAUUACAAGGAAGCUUAGAUGUGGAAGAGGGAGGUAGGUCAGUGUCAGAGAGAUGCAACAUGAGACACACUAAACCAGCCAUUGUUGGCUUUGCCAAUGGAGGAGGGGCCACAAGCCAAGGAAUGUGGGCAGCUUUAAAGCUUGAAAAGGAAGGGAAAGAUUCUCCCUUAGAGCCUCCAGAAGGAACACGGUCCUGGUGACACCUUGAUUUUAACCCAGUGAGACCCAUUUGGGACUGUUGAUCCUCAGAACUGCAAGGUAAUAAAUAUGUGUUGCUUUAAGCCACUUAACUUGUGGCAAUUUGUUACAGUAGCUACAGGAAACUAAUAUACCAGUAGUUUAAAAUCAUGCAUUGAGCAUAAAAUGAGCAGCUCAAAAGAUCCAAACCUGCGUUUGUUUCAUGGAGGAAAAAAAUGAUAAAAACUGUCAACGUUUUACCCAACUUUAUAUUUUUUUCACAGAAAUGCCCAUGAUUCAUACGCCAACUUCCCCUCCCACACACAUGUGCCAUGAGAGCCCUGAGGCACUGUGUAAGAAGCCCGCCUUGCAUUGAAGUCACUGCUUGAGAGACCACGAGGAGAGAUCACCUGGAGAAACAAAGAUGCCCAAGAUGAUGUUCCGGUCCCCAGCUAGGUGCCAUCCCGGCCCAGGUGCCGGGUGUGUGCAUGAGCCUUGAGAUAAUUCCAGCCCCAUCCAACUGCCAACCCAUGAGCAUCUGACAGCUCCAGACACCUAGCUGAGUCCAAUUUAUCCCCAGAAUGUUUUUCAGCAAAACCCUUUGGAAGGCGUGUCUGCAGACCCCACUUCCUCUCAUCCCUCUCAGGGGGGUUUCAUACCACUCCACCACUCCACCAAGAUGACUCCUGUCAACAGGGGAUCAUAAUACAUCCUUUA